UACGGAGGAUGCAAGCGUUAUCCGGAAUGAUUGGGCGUAAAGCGUCCGCAGGUGGCAAUGUAAGUCUGCUGUCAAAGCGUCUGGCUCAACCAGAUAAAGGCAGUGGAAACUACAUAGCUAGAGUAAAGGUAGGGGUAGAGGGAAUUCCUGGUGUAGCGGUGAAAUGCGUAGAGAUCAGGAAGAACACCGGUGGCGAAAGCGCUCUGCUGGACCUAAACUGACACUGAGGGACGAAAAGCUAGGGGAGCGAAUGGG
rnacentral:rRNA from 1 species